rnacentral:lncRNA from 1 species
GCAGGCGAGGUGCCCUCCUUGUCUUUCCCCAAGCUAAAAUAAGUAAUAAAACAAGAACCCAAACAAAAGAAAAUCAGAACAAAACAACAAAUGUUAAUUUUUUUUUUUUUAAAAAAGGAACAACCGCACAUGGCUCAGAUAAGGCGUCCCCAAGAUGGGCGAAAGACUCUCCCUGGUGUCCGGAGCCCAACGCCGCCAUUAUCCAUACAGCAUUUCUUGGUGGCGGA